rnacentral:rRNA from 1 species
GCUUAACACAUGCAAGUCGAGGGGCAGCAUUUCAGCUUUCUUGCAAACUGGAGAUGGCGACCGGCGCACGGGUGAGUAACACGUAUCCAACCUGCCGAUAACUCGGGGAUAGCCUUUCGAAAGAAAGAUUAAUACCCGAUGGCAUAAUUAGACCGCAUGGUCUUAUUAUUAAAGAAUUUCGGUUAUCGAUGGGGAUGCGUUCCAUUAGGCAGUUGGUGAGGUAACGGCUCACCAAACCUUCGAUGGAUAGGGGUUCUGAGAGGAAGGUCCCCCACAUUGGAACUGAGACACGGUCCAAACUCCUACGGGAGGCAGCAGUGAGGAAUAUUGGUCAAUGGGCGCAGGCCUGAACCAGCCAAGUAGCGUGAAGGAUGACUGCCCUAUGGGUUGUAAACUUCUUUUAUAUGGGAAUAAAGUUUUCCACGUGUGGAAUUUUGUAUGUACCAUAUGAAUAAGGAUCGGCUAACUCCGUGCCAGCAGCCGCGGUAAUACGGAGGAUCCGAGCGUUAUCCGGAUUUAUUGGGUUUAAAGGGGGCGUAGGUGGACAGUUAAGUCAGUUGUGAAAGUUUGCGGCUCAACCGUAAAAUUGCAGUUGAUACUGGCUGUCUUGAGUACAGUAGAGGUGGGCGGAAUUCGUGGUGUAGCGGUGAAAUGCUUAGAUAUCACGAAGAACUCCGAUUGCGAAGGCAGCUCACUGGACUGCAACUGACACUGAUGCUCGAAAGUGUGGGUAUCAAACAGGAUUAGAUACCCUGGUAGUCCACACAGUAAACGAUGAAUACUCGCUGUUUGCGAUAUACAGUAAGCGGCCAAGCGAAAGCAUUAAGUAUUCCACCUGGGGAGUACGCCGGCAACGGUGAAACUCAAAGGAAUUGACGGGGGCCCGCACAAGCGGAGGAACAUGUGGUUUAAUUCGAUGAUACGCGAGGAACCUUACCCGGGCUUAAAUUGCAUUUGAAUAAUCUGGAAACAGGUUAGCCGCAAGGCAAAUGUGAAGGUGCUGCAUGGUUGUCGUCAGCUCGUGCCGUGAGGUGUCGGCUUAAGUGCCAUAACGAGCGCAACCCUUAUCUUUAGUUACUAACAGGUCAUGCUGAGGACUCUAGAGAGACUGCCGUCGUAAGAUGUGAGGAAGGUGGGGAUGACGUCAAAUCAGCACGGCCCUUACGUCCGGGGCUACACACGUGUUACAAUGGGGGGUACAGAAGGCAGCUACCUGGUGACAGGAUGCUAAUCCCAAAAGCCUCUCUCAGUUCGGAUCGAAGUCUGCAACCCGACUUCGUGAAGCUGGAUUCGCUAGUAAUCGCGCAUCAGCCAUGGCGCGGUGAAUACGUUCCCGGGCCUUGUACACACCGCCCGUCAAGCCAUGAAAGCCGGGGGUACCUGAAGUACGUAAGCGCAAGGAGCGUCCUAGGGUAAAACUGGU